ACAGAAAACGCCUCAUUAAAGUUUAAGGUGUAUCUGAAGUCCAUUAUAUAUAAGUGCUAAAACUUCACACAUAUUAUAAUGAAUUAAAACUUCAUUAUAAAACCGUGUAGUAAUUUGUUUUCAAUCAUGUAACAUUAAAAUUACGCACUAUAAACUCAAAUCAGUAGGUACUUAGUUUAAAGUAAAACAUGAUAUUGCCAGUGCUUAUGUGUCUUCUUUCAGAGAUUCUUGCAUAUCAAAGAUAUGACAACUUUUAUGAUAGAAAUUAUAACCAUCGUAGUAUUAACCAAAAUUACUUUGACAACAAUUUCAGCGAAGACGAAAUAAACGCGAUUAAUGAAUAUAAAAAGGGAAUGAACUUUCGCGCCUCUGUGAGACAUCAAGUAUUCGAUCCACAAUUUGAAAAUAGACGUGUUUUCGGAUGGAUAAAAAAACUAUUCAAAAAAAAUGAAACAAAAAAAGUAAAAUACGAAGAUUUAGUUAACAAUAAAAUAUUUUAUUUGCACUUAACAAGAAAUUUAACGGAUAAUUUAUCACAAUUGACAAACGUUUUAGAUAAAUUCACAAAUUCACUGAAAGACCAGUCAAUAAUAAGUCCGACGCUUCGAAUAACACGGUCCGUCAAUGAUAGUGAAAUUUUGGAGGCAGUAAACACAGCUAAUGGAACCACAGAUAACGUUACUACCACAGAAAACAUAACAAACAGACUACGAACGCUUAAUACGUUGGAUUUUAAACUAAAAUUGUUAUCAUCUAUUAACGAUACGUUAAAUAUUGUUUUGUAUAAAUUUAAGCCAGCGUCGAAUGCGCAAGAGGUCUUCGGAGAUAAUCUCCUAUUUAAUGUUGGUUUUUUGUCCGGUAGUGCCAGUACUCUAAAAGCAUUUAUUGAUGAAUUGCAAAAUAUUUCUAAAAAGAACGUAUUAAUAAUGGAUGAAAAUUUUGUAAUGCAGUUGUAUGACACUGUGAAUAAAAUUAAUGGAGUAUCUGACAAGCUUUUGAAUAAAUUAAAUUUGUAUAUGGAUAAAGCCACGAGAGAACUGGAAAAAAAUUAAUAAAAUUUGUUUUUUAACUCCAUAAUAUUUUUACACACCUGCAUUGUUCAAAAAUGUAUCAAAAGUUAAGCAAGCAAGGUUGCUUCUUGGGUGUAUUUUAAUAAUAUUAAAAUUAGUUUUACAAAGGUUCUCAAAUAAAAGCCACGCAAAGCAAAAA